ACAGCAGCAGCCGCGGGAAUACGAAGGGUGCAAGCGUUAAUCGGAAUUACUGGGCGUAAAGCGUGCGUAGGCGGUGAGUUAAGUCUGCUGUGAAAUCCCCGGGCUCAACCUGGGAAUGGCAGUGGAUACUGGCUCGCUAGAGUGUGUCAGAGGAUGGUGGAAUUCCCGGUGUAGCGGUGAAAUGCGUAGAGAUCGGGAGGAACAUCAGUGGCGAAGGCGGCCACCUGGGACAACACUGACGCUGAGGCACGAAAGCGUGGGGAGCAAACAGGAUUAGAUACCCCGGUAGUCCCUGUCUCUUAUAC
rnacentral:rRNA from 1 species